rnacentral:lncRNA from 1 species
UAUUCGCAUUUGUUUUUUUUCAUAGAUGAGAGGAUCUAGGACUCUACAAAGUUAUUAUUCUAAAAAAGAUUUUUGAGAUUGCUUUUGUACUCUUAGAAGAGAUUUAUGCUUGAUUUAUGAUAUAGGUUUCAUAGUCGUACCAACACUAUGCUAUGUUACAAUGUUGGUUGCUCCACUGCCUGCGGGGUUUUCAGGAAGAUUAGAGGGUUGGUGAUGGUCUGUAGAUCAAAAAUGUAGAUGCUCUCAAGAUCUCUUCAAAACAUUGAACUUAGCAUCUAACUCGAUUCAUCAUAAUUUAAGCCUCCAAGAUUUGUUUGAUUUUUAAAAUAUAUAUAGAAUAGAUAUAAUAAAAUAGAUAAAUAAAAUAAAAAAAUUAUUUAAAAAAAUCACAUCCCAUGCAUUAAUCGCAGGGGAUUAUAAGCUAGUAUAAAAUAUUACCCACCACUUUUGGAAAAGAUUGGCUUGCAAAAUAUGAACAUUUUAGUACAUAUAAGAUGCGUCUUGCUGCCAUUUUUCGGAGAUUUAGCACAUGUAGAACGUGGGUUAAUAGAUUUGGAAGGCUGUAAAUUUGCAUAUAUUUUCUGUAUAUUUUCCUUGAACAUUACUACUUUAAUAUUUGCUAACAUGGAGCAAUAAAAUUAUUUUAUUUCACAACUUUACAGUUACAUGCGAAUGAGUAAGAUUAUUAUAAAGUUUAAGACACUCUAGACUCGUUUGGUUUGCAGGGAUUGGAUGGGGGAAAGUAUGAUUUUUGGGAAGUAGAAAAAAAUCUUUUUUGUUUGGUUGGAAUUUUCAGAAGAGAGAUUGGAAAAAAAGUCUUCUUAUGGUAAUCCAUUUUCCAUAUUUUAUGGGAAAGAAAAAUCUAGGGGGAGGUGGGUUUUUGGAAUUCCAAUAAGAUGAAAAUUGGAGCCUUUUUUUAUUCUGAAAUUACUUUUUAAUGCUGUCUUUUUAUAUUAUAUUAAUAUAAAUAUUAAUAUAAUAAUAUCUUAAUAUUACAUUAGUAUUAAUAAUAAUAUUAAUAUAAUAUUACAUUAGUAUUAAUAAUAAUAUUAAUAUAAUAUUACAUAAAAUAUAAUAAAUUAAUAUUAAAACUUAUAUUAGUAUAAAAUUAUAAUAUUUAUAUAAUAUUAUAUUAGUAAAUAGUAUGUUAAAAUAUUAAUAUUAUAUUAAUAUUUAUAUUAAUAUAAUAAUUUAUUAUGAUGUAAUGUUAUAUUCUAUUAUAUUAGUAUUAUAUUAUACAUUAUAUUUAUAGUAUAUAAAGUUUGGGAGCACAGAGGUAGUGUUACAUCUAUA